GGAUGCGAUCAUAUCAGCACUAAUGCACCGGAUCCCAUCAGAACUCCGCAGUUAAGCGUGACUAAGUGUCGUUAGCU
rnacentral:rRNA from 1 species